GCGGCGCCGUCAGUCAUGCGCGGGCUGGGCGGGGCCGCGCGUGCCGGCGUUGCCGGGUUACGGCCGCCCCGGGCAAUGGCGGCGGGGCCGCCCCGCGGUUGGUGCCUGGCGAUUUAAAGUCGUAGGAAUAGCCGGCAAAGCUGCUUAGGGCUGUGUUGAAAAUGCUGGGAGAAAAAAAGCAGUUAAUGGUGGCAAGAGACCUUUACACAGACCCCACGUUUCCGGCCAGUGAUACCUCCAUAUUUUUUAAUUAUUGUACCCCACUUGCCCAGUUUAGAGGAGAGAUAUCUUGGUUGAGACCUAAGGACAUAUGUUCCUCUCCUCGGUUAUUUUCAAACAAUCUGCAGGAUGUGCAAGUGAAACAAGGAAUUUUGGGAGACUGUUGGUUCCUGUGUGCCUGUGUAGCUUUGCAGAAGAGCAAGUACUUACUGAACAAGGUGAUCCCUCCAGGUCAGCCCAGCUGGACAGACGAGUCCUAUCAAGGCUGCUUCACGUGCCGGGUCUGGCAGUUUGGCCACUGGGUAGAAGUGACCAUUGAUGAUCGCCUGCCUUGCCUUGGGGGCAAACUCUGCUUUUCCCAGUGUCAGACAGAGGAUUUGUUUUGGCUUCCACUACUGGAAAAAGCUUAUGCAAAAGUGCAUGGAUCUUAUGAGCAGUUGUGGGCAGGACAAGUGGCAGAUGCUUUGGUUGAUCUGACUGGAGGAAUUGCUGAAAGAUGGACCCUGAAAGGCCCUGGAAAAAAUGUGGAGAAAGGGAAGACUGGCAUGGUUUUGGAGAAGGCAGUGUUUAGAAGAUUGAUGAAUCUGAAGGAACAGUGUGUAAUAAGCUGUUCAGUCCUCAACUCCAGACAAGGUGCAAGUGAACUGGGAGAAUUUCAUGCCUUUAUUGUGAUAGACACAUUGAAUCUCUCUGAAGUGUCAGGCAAGGAAAUCUUCCUGCUACGAAUACGAAAUCCUUGGGGGAGGAGGUGCUGGAAAGGGCCUUGGUGUGAGGGUGGUCAAGGAUGGAACCAGCUAGAUCCAGUAAUUGCUUCAGAACUCCUCUCACAGAUCCAAGAAGGAGAAUUCUGGGUUGAUGAAGAGGAAUUUUUCAGGGAAUUUGAUGAGAUUACUGUGGGCUUUCCAGUCAAUGAGGAAGGACAACUUCAGAGCCUCUAUACAGAGAAAGUGUUGUAUCACUCUCAGAAUCUCUUUGGAUCCUGGGUGAGAGGCCAGUCUGCAGGUGGCUGCCGCAACAACAGCAGCUUCCCCACCAACCCCAAGUUCUGGCUGAGGGUCUGUGAGUCGAGUGAGGUGUGCAUUGCUCUGCUGCAGAAACACAGGAAAUACAGCACUGACUGGGCUGGAAGGAUUCAACAUCCAACCCGCCUAGCAGAGGAAAAUCCAUCCUUGACUGAGGGCAUACAGGGGAAGAAUUACCAGGCUGUGGGAUUACAUGUCUGGAAGGUGGAGAAGAAACGAUUUAACCUUCCAAAGACCCUCUCUGCUCCUCCAGUUGUAGGUACUGUCUGCCAUUCCUACGAUAGAGAAGUCCAUGUGUGCUGUGACCUUUCACCUGGCUUUUAUCUUGUUGUUCCCAGCACUUUUCUGAAAGAUGCAGUAGGGAAUUUCUUGCUUCGCGUAUUUUCAACGGGAAGGAUCUCUCUCAGUGAACUAAAGCCACCACCCAUGGAGGCUGCCCUCUGUGAAGAACUCCCAGCUGGCGAAUGGGAGACAGUGCAGCUGCAUGGAUGCUGGAAGAAUGGGCUAAAUGCUGGAGGUAGCAGGAACUUCCCCUCCUUCCAUACCAAUCCCUGCUUUCCCCUCUCCAUUCCUGCAGGACCAGAGAAAAGCAGUGUGAAAGUCACCCUCCGUCAGCACUGCCUGGACAGCAAGUGUUGUCCUAUAGGUUUCCAUAUUUUCCAGGUGCCUAACAGCAGUUGGAAACCACAAACUACUUCUUUUAUACACUUGGAGCCACUGGUGAGCUGUGUUCCUCACUGCUAUUCCCAGGAAGUCAGCAGACUUUGUAGGCUUCCUGCAGGAAGUUAUGUCAUUAUACCUUCUACAUAUUUGCCCAAUACAGAGGGCAGUUUUACAGUGGUCAUAGCAACCAAAAUAGACAGGAAGCGCAUUCACAGCCAGGAGACACUUGGACAAGUAUUACAAGAAGUUUCCUUUACAACUGUGAUGAAAAGGUAGUGUGGAAUUCUGACACUGUCUUUUCAAGAAACAUCAGGAAGCCAAGGAGAAUGCCUCAUCUCUUGCUCUUCUCAGUUUUAAAUGGAAUAACAAGAUGCUCUUAGCCCAGCUGUUUUUCACUGGUACCAACUGCCAGGCCUGUAACGACUUCUUUGUGAAAAAUACCUCUUAAUCAUGAACACUCUGAAUAUUUGGUCUUCCCACAUUUUUAGAAGGAGCAUUGUACAGCAAAUUAUCAUGUACCUCAGUUCUUCAAAAAUACAGGUAGAGUAUACCUCAAGAACCAUCAAAAAUAUACUGGAAUAGGAAAAGUCCAAGUUUGUAUCUGACACUGCCAGUCCUGCUGCUGAGCACUUUACCUUGGGCCCUCAAUGGAACCAAGCAGAUGGUGGGUUCAAAGGAAUUUUUUUUGGUGAGUUUUUCUUUAGUGAAUGCCAGAAAUAAAAAAAAGACAAGACUUGAAAGCUUUUGAACUGUCCUGUCAGACUGCUUUUGUAAAUCUGUAAGAAUGUGUUUUAUGGAAGAGCUGCCCUUGCUGCAAGAAAUGUGCAGUUUAAAAGUUUUUUCUUAAUUUAUGUUUGAAAGUGUUUCUUAUUCAAUCUGGAUUUUUUAAAUGUUAUAUUUUCCUCAAUGAAAAUAAAGUGACAUUGAAAGU